rnacentral:rRNA from 1 species
AACGUAGGGGGCGAGCGUUGUCCGGAAUUACUGGGCGUAAAGCGCGUGUAGGCGGGUUUUUAAGUCGGGUGUGAAAACCCUGGGCUCAACCCAGGGACUGCAUCCGAAACUGGGAAUCUUGAGGGCGGGAGAGGAAAGUGGAAUUCCUAGUGUAGCGGUGAAAUGCGUAGAUAUUAGGAGGAACACCAGUGGCGAAGGCGGCUUUCUGGCCCGAACCUGACGCUGAGACGCGAAAGCGUGGGGAG